AGUCGAGGGGUAGGGUAGCAAUACCUGAGACCGGCGCACGGGUGCGUAACGCGUAUGCAACCUACCUUUUACAGGGGAAUAGCCCAGAGAAAUUUGGAUUAAUGCCCCAUGGUAUAUUUUAGUGGCAUCACUGGAUUAUUAAAGUUCCAACGGUAAAAGAUGGGCAUGCGUCCUAUUAGCUAGAUGGUAAGGUAACGGCUUACCAUGGCUACGAUAGGUAGGGGUCCUGAGAGGGAGAUCCCCCACACUGGUACUGAGACACGGACCAGACUCCUACGGGAGGCAGCAGUGAGGAAUAUUGGACAAUGGGCGCAAGCCUGAUCCAGCCAUGCCGCGUGCAGGAAGAAGCAUCUAUGGUGUGUAAACUGCUUUUGUACGGGAAGAAACACUCCUACGUGUAGGAGCUUGACGGUACCGUAAGAAUAAGGAUCGGCUAACUCCGUGCCAGCAGCCGCGGUAAUACGGAGGAUCCAAGCGUUAUCCGGAAUCAUUGGGUUUAAAGGGUCCGUAGGCGGUUUGGUAAGUCAGUGGUGAAAGCCCUUCGCUCAACGGAGGAACGGCCAUUGAUACUGCCAGACUUGAAUUACUGGGAAGUAACUAGAAUAUGUAGUGUAGCGGUGAAAUGCUUAGAUAUUACAUGGAAUACCAAUUGCGAAGGCAGGUUACUACCAGUGGAUUGACGCUGAUGGACGAAAGCGUGGGGAGCGAACAGGAUUAGAUACCCUGGUAGUC
rnacentral:rRNA from 1 species